UACUUUUAAAGGAUGACAGCUAAUCCAUUGGUCUUAGGAACCAGUUACUUUGGUGCAACUCCAAAUAAAAGUA
rnacentral:tRNA from 1 species